CGGGAAGCCAGGCGUGCUGGGGCUCAUUCAUUUCGGACGCGGUUUGCAGGGCGGGCGGCCAGGAGCGCCGCGCUCCUGCUGCCCGGCCAGGCGGCCCGGGUGUGCCCAGAAGGUCGCGCCCGCCGGGGUCUACGGCGGGGCCUCCUCUGGCCGCCGCCCGCGUCCUGGAGCCGCCUCAGCCCCCGCGGGGACCCUCGCCUCCCUCCGGCGCGCCAGGCCCGGACGCGCGGCGGCACCAGGACCCGGACCGGGACCGAGACCGGGACCGGGACGGGACGAGACGGAAGCACGGCGCGGCGGCAGGGCGCACUCACCGUUCUGCUCCUUGGCGCCGGGGAAGCUGGGAACUUUUCCCCCCAGGCUGAGACUUGGGCUCCGCCCCGAGUGCCGUGUUUUUUUUUCGAACCAGCGCGGACGUCAGCAGCAGGAGGCCGAGGAGGAGCAUUGGGCCGCCAGGCGCGGGCGCGGGCGCGGGGCGCGGGCUCUCACGGCCGCCCGGGGAGCGCGGCGCGCGCGGGGGAGCGCAGGGCCUUCUCUGGCCGCCGAGCCGCGCGGGGUGGCUGCCACAUAAUCCCAUCCACAGCCUUCCUCCCCAGCUUCUUCUGCGGCUCCAGCUUUUUUUCUUCUUUCUUUCUUUCUUUCUUUUUUUUUUUUUUUUUUUUUUUUUUUUUUUUUUUUUUUUAAAGAAUCAAAGCAAAACCUGGACCUGAACCAGUUUCCCAAGGUUUAAACAAAUCCCGAGCCGCGCCAAGCGUGGCGCCGGGGCCGGGGCCCGGGCGCGGGGCUGCGGGGCGCGCACCUGUUGGCGCGGAGACCUGGACCGGGCCGGGUCGGGCCGAACCUGGUGGCGGGCGAGCAGUUUGGCAGCAGAGACAAAGCUGCCCGCGAGCGGCAGUGCGGGCCCCUCUCCCCGCCCCACACCCCACCCACCCACCGGGGGAGGGGACAGCGGCGGGCGGCUCGGCAAGUCCCGGGUUGGGGUCUUGGGUCGGGGUGCAAGCUGUCGGGGUCCCUGGGUCGGGGGUUGGGGUACCGGGGAUCUGGGGUGCGCAGAGGGUCGCACCCGGCCGAUGGCUGAGCGACCCUAGCUCCCUGGCGCAGCGGCCCCAGAUCUGCAGCCCCGGCGGCCCCGGCUCCUCGCGUCUCCUCCUCCACGCCGGCUCCUGGCGGCUCCGCGGCCCACACGAGGGCCCGGGACACUGGCCCCGCCCCGCCCCUCCUCACCAGACUCCGCGCCCGCUGGCUCAGCCCGACAGGUGCCGCACUGAGGACUGCGCUGUGGCUGCGGGCUUGCAACCACAGACAGACUUGGGCUGGGGGCCGCAGGAAUGCAGCCUGACGACCCCUGGGUUCCUUUCCUGGGGCGCCCUGAUCCUAAAUAGAGGGCAGGGGGCAGGAGAAGGAGCUUCAAAAGCAGAAGAUGUAGGAAAGUACUGUGGUCCUGCCCCCCUUUCUCCUUUCCCCCUCUCCCCUCCUCUUCCCCUCUUCUUCCCUCCCUCCUCCUCCACCUUCCAAGCCCUUCCCUCCUCUCCUCCUCCUCCCCUUCCCUGUCCCAUCUCUAUCCCUCUCCCCCCCAACCCCCCAACCCUUCACCCCCGCGCUCUUCUAGCUGAAGAUGGGAUAGGUUAAUUUCUAGGAACCCCU
ensembl:lincRNA